rnacentral:lncRNA from 1 species
GACAUUCUCCCCGGAUUCUCGUCGGCAACAGCUUCUCCUGCUUCUGGUUAGCUUCUCUUGGUUCUCCCGCUUCUUUUCAAAAUCUGGCAAACCCAAUAUAUAUCGACGCUCCAGCUUCUCCUCCCAGAUUCUUUCCCCAUCUCUCUCAUGCGUCGCUCGCUCUUUCUCGUCCUCCCGACGCUACGGGAGACGGCGCUGGGGCUGAGCAGGGCGGCGACGGUGAGCGACCUCCUCCUCCUCCUCCGACCCCUCCUCCUCCUGCGAGCUCCCUCCCCAUCCUCUCCUUUUCUCCCCUUCAUUCUCGAGGUGGCGGUGGCGUGGCGGCCGUAGCAAGGCGAUGGCGCCCCUCGCGGGUGGCGCGCCGACGAUCUCUUCCUCUCCCCAUUCUCCGUGCAGCCUCCUAGAUGCCUCUUCCCGCCGGGGAGCACCUACCAAGUUCCUCCAUGAAACCCUAGCUAUACAUGCUUCUUAUUUCCUCUGAUUUGGUUUAUGCUUCUGUUGGAUGAUUUCGUAGUUACUAUGAUGCUGAUGCGGGGCACUGUUUGUGUGCAAAGGGAACGGUCCAAGGCGAGUUGCCCUUCCUCAGCUUAGUCGUUAGGUUAGUGUGUUGACUUUAGUGGUAGGUUAAUGAACGAGUGGACAUGGCUGAACCCCCUUUAUUGCAGCAGGAUACUAUCUCAAAUGGAUUUUGUUCUCAGCACAUUCCUAUAUAUGGCUCAUAAUAUUUAAAAUCUGAUAUGUCGCUAAUCUCAUUAGCAUCGGUUUUAUUAAAUGUUAUUUUUUACGUAUAGCUUGAUCCAAAAAAUAUGCCACUUCAUGAACUGCAGAUAGCUAAAGUUAAGGAACACAACAUUUACCAAGUGCAUGGUCAUAUUGUGCUUGCCGAAAUAACAUAGCACUUCAUUUCAAUGUGAAGGCUUGCUGCAGUAAGAUAAUAACCUGAACAUUGUCGGAUUCGCAGUUGGAUGACUGUAGUUAUUAUCUGUGACUUCCAUAAUUAGUCUUGUGGGUUUAUUUUGUGCUUUUAUAGUUUUUACUGAGGUUGUAAGACCAGAUUGCCUUCCAAAGGUGAGUUUUUUCCCUGAUUAAGUAAGCUGUUGAUGAAAAAAAUGAAUCCUUCCAAUGUCUAGUCCAAUUACAGAGGUGGUGCUGACCAUUGGUUGUGUUUGCAAAGGGACAGGUCCAAGGCAAUGGUGCUAAGGAUGGCAACGGAUCGGUUUUGGUUCGGAUAUCCGCGGGUUUUCGGGUCCAGUGGUUUUGGUUUUGGUGGUAGUUUUUCGUCAACGAUUUUCGGGUUCGGGGCCCGAAACCGAUCGGGUUUGGUUUCGGGUUUGGUUUUCCAUCCGUGGAUGUUAUGACCGGUAUGGUCUAUCAGAGGAGGGAGAAGGAACGUGGCUGAACCAGACCAGGAGGGCAGCCUGGACGUAGUCACCACCUGGCCUAUUGGCCAAGUUAUCUAGAGUUUGCAUUAGUUAAGAUUUACUUUAGUUAAGAUUUACUUUCCAUAAUAGAUUAGAUCUAUUAGAUUGGGACUGCUAUUGUAUAAAGAGUGGAACUCGUAUUCAAUGAGAGGUUAGCCUGGGAUUGAGAUAUUCUUAUCUCCCUUGGGCUCCCGGCCCUUGUCUCCUGUUCUCCGUCUCCCUGUUGCGUGAGUUCCCUCGACAACGGCACCUGCACGCCGCCGCCCAGCUCGCCCGCACGCCCCUGUCUCUCCCCCAUACUUCCUCCGAAGCAAGCUCCGGCGUCGUAACAACCUGGUAUCAGAGACCAUGGCUACGACCGGCGUCUCCUCCAGCCCCGUCGAUCCUGCUGCCGGCGCUACUCUUCCCCAAAGCACCGCCACCCUCCCCGCUGCCGACCCCACAAUACCACCUGUAUCUUCCAGCGCCCUGAUUCCCACCCUCGCCAUGCCGCUCACCACCCACACACCGCCCCCACAGCUGGUGUCCAUGCCCAGCGACACCCUGAAUUUCUUCACCAACACCCUGCAAGGGAUCCAAAACCAGCUGUCUGUCCUCAACUUCCAGGUGGGUGAUCUCGCCACGCGUGUGGCUGUCAUCGACGGCCGGGAAUUGGCUUCGGGCCAGCACCUUCCCCAGAUUGCGCUGCCAGGGUUUAGCUCCAUGCCCGCCCUGACUGCGCCCUCCGCGUCGACACCCCAUGUGCCAGCGGCAUCUUCGGCGCCCGCGUCGACACCCCAUGUGCCAGCGGCAUCUUCGGCGCCCGCAGCAACAACAAUGGGUUCCCUGUCCUUUGGCUCGGUGCAGCCGACGUCCGCUGCACUAACAGCGGGGGUGCCAAUCAAUCAGAUCCGCUUCCCGGCUUCACCGUCUCCGAUCCCUUCACUGGAGACAAUCCUGAGGGGCGCACCAGCCAUGUCCUCAGCUCCGAUGGCAUCACCGUCACCACAUGUCAGCGUGUCCCCGGCACCGGAUGGUCACGUCGUCCCCAAGUACCACAAGCUUACGUUUCCCACCUUUGAUGGCAAGGAGGACCCGCUGGGGUGGCUGAACAAGUGUGAACAAUUUUUCAAUGGGCACCAGACGCGCCACACCGACCGAGUCUGGCUUGCAUCUUAUCACCUCACCGGGGUUGCCCAGCAGUGGUACCUCGUCCUUGAGGCUGACUCCGGUCGUCCACAGUGGGAGGAGUUCCGCACGUUGUGCCAUCAACGCUUCGGGCCGCCCCUCAGCACCAACCAUCUCUCAGAUCUCGCGCGCCUACCUUUCACCUCCACGGUGGAUGCCUACAUGGAGGCGUUCCAGGCUCGCGCAGCCCACGCCGGGCGUCUCUCUCCGGGCCAGAAGGCCAAGCUGUUCACUGGAGGCCUGCCCCAUCACAUCCGCGUCGAUGUCGAGCUCCACGACCCGCAGGACCUGCAGCGUGCCAUGUACUUGGCCCGCGCCUAUGAACGCCGGAACACACCGGCGCCCCUUGCCCUGCCGGCACCCCCGCGCCGCCGACCGACCAGCACCACUUCGACGCCGGCUGGUGCGGUGACCCAGGCGGAGAGCUCCUCAUCCUCAGCACCGCCGCGCCUCUUCAAGCGGCUCACCCCAGAUGAGAUGGCCGAGCGCCGAAAGCAAGGCCUUUGCUACAACUGUGAUGAGCCGUACGUCCGUGGCCACAAGUGUGCUCGGCUGUUCUUCCUGGAGGUCACCGAUUAUAUUGUGGAGGAGCCUGAAGAUACGGACAGCGGCAGUACGCAGCCGGCUGAGGACGCGCCCUAUGACACCGACAAGCCCCUGAUCUCCCUGUCCGCGAUCACCGGCAUUCGAGCGCACGAGACGAUGCAGCUCCGCGUACAUGUGGGUCCGCACGAGCUGACUGCGCUGCUGGAUUCGGGAUCCACUCACAACUUCAUCAGCAGCGCCGCAGCCCACCGCGCAGGUCUCCACUUCCAGGACAGCGAGGGGGCUCACGUCACGGUCGCCAACGGUGACCGCGUCCUGUGUCGCGGCCUCGCUCGCGGAGUCAACCUCCAGAUCGGCAUGGAGGUCUUCAAGGUCGAUUGCUACGCCAUUCCGCUGGACUCCUGUGACAUGGUCCUUGGCAUCGCCUGGCUACGCACACUCGGACCCAUCUUGUGGGACUUCGACAACCUGCGCAUGGAGUUCUCUCUACACGGCCGCCGAGUACAAUGGCGCGGCGAAGGGACGCCAUGCUCAGCAGCAGUACCAGCAGCAUCGGCCCCCAACACCCAGAGCCUGCAGAUCUUCUCGGCCAAGGGGACCGAGCCGGCCCUCCUCGAGCGCCUGCUGGACGCAUACGCUGACGUGUUCGCAGAGCCGGACGGGCUGCCACCAGCCCGCGACUGUGACCAUCGGAUCCACCUCAAGCCGGCCACGGAGCCCGUGGCGGUGCGCCCGUACCGCUACCCGCAGCUCCAAAAAGACGAGCUCGAACGCCAGUGCGACGCAAUGCUGCAGCAGGGCACGAUCCGUGCCAGCACCUCCCCGUUCUCAGCACCAGUUCUGCUGGUCAAGAAACAAGAUGGCUCGUGGCGCUUCUGCGUGGACUACCGCGCGCUCAACUCAGCCACCGUGAAGGACAAAUUUCCCAUACCAGUGGUCGAGGAACUUUUGGAUGAACUCCGUGGUGCUCGCUUCUUUACGAAGUUGGAUCUCCGCUCCGGGUACCACCAGAUUCGUGUACAUCCUGAUGACGUGGCCAAAACGGCGUUCCGAACCCACCACGGCCACUUUGAGUUCCUGGUCAUGCCGUUCGGCCUCUCCAACGCGCCGUCGACAUUCCAGGCCCUCAUGAACACGGUGCUGAAGCCCUUUCUUCGCCGAUGCGUGUUGGUGUUCUUCGACGACAUCCUGAUUUACAGCGCCACGUGGACUGAACACCUCCUCCAGCUGCGCGCCGUCCUCGACGUCCUUCGAACCCACAGCCUUCAUCUCAAGAGGUCCAAGUGCUCCUUCGCAGCGACUUCAGUUCACUAUUUGGGCCAUGUGAUUUCUCAUGCAGGGGUCUCCAUGGACGUGUCCAAGGUGGCGGCGGUCCAGUCUUGGCCACAACCGCGUUCAGCCCGUGGUCUUCGAGGCUUCCUCGGCCUCGCGGGAUACUACAGGCGCUUCAUCAAGGACUAUGGCGCUAUUGCGGCGCCGCUGACCAGCCUCCUGCGCAAGAACGCCUUCUUGUGGACAGCCGAGGCUGAGGACGCGUUUUCUGCAUUGAAGCAAGCCCUUUCCGCCGCCCCGGUGCUGCAUCUUCCGGACUUCAACCUCGAGUUCUUCGUCGACUGCGACGCGUCCGGCUCCGGCUUCGGGGCUGUUUUGCAUCAAGGCGAGGGCCCUUUGGCGUUCUUCAGCAGGCCAUUCGCUGUUCGCCACCUGAAGGUUGCUGCAUAUGAGCGCGAGCUGAUCGGUUUGGUCCAGGCAGUGCGGCAUUGGCGGCCGUACCUCUGGGGCCGUUCCUUCAUCGUCCGCACCGAUCACUAUGCGCUCAAGUUCCUGCUAGACCAACGCCUAUCAACGAUCCCGCAGAAUCACUGGAUCAGUAAACUCAUGGGUUAUGAUUUCAGGAUUGAGUUCAGGCCAGGGCGCUUCAAUGUCGUCGCCGACGCGUUAUCAAGGCGGGAUGGCGACGCACCCUUGCUGUCCACGUUGCCGUCGGCUGAGCCGGUACUGGCAGCACUUUCGACACCAACAUUCCAGCUGUUCGACGAGCUCCGCCAAGAGUUUGCUGCCUCCGAUGAGCUUCGGGCAGUCUGCGAAGAAGUGGCUGCGGGCGGCCGCGGCGCGGACUGGGCGCUGCAGGACGGCCUCCUUCUCCACAAGGGGCGGGUCUAUGUUCCAGCCUCUUCCUCGGUCUUCGACGACGUGCUACAGCUCGCGCACACCAACGCACACGAGGGGAUCCAAAAGACGCUGCAGCGACUGCGCACUGAGUUCUUCAUAGAACAUGAUCGCCGCACUGUCCAUGACUACAUUCGGGCCUGUGCAACGUGUCAGCGCAACAAGUCAGAGGCUAUGCACCCGGCUGGUUUGCUGCAGCCCCUACCGGUGCCAUCGAAGGUGUGGGCUGACAUCGUGAUGGACUUCGUCGAGGCGUUACCCAAGGUGCACGGCAAAAGCGUUAUCUUGACAGUGGUGGAUCGCUUCUCCAAGUAUGCCCACUUCAUUCCUCUGGGACAUCCAUACACAGCCUCGUCUGUUGCUCGCGCGUUCUUCCGCGACAUCGUGCGUCUCCAUGGUUUUCCGGACUCCAUUGUAAGUGACCGUGAUCCGGUGUUCACGGGGAAUGUGUGGCGCGAUCUCUUCAAGCAGGCUGGCGUCCAACUUCGCAUGAGUACCGCCUUCCACCCACAGACGGAUGGGCAGUCCGAGGCUGUGAACAAGACGAUUGCAAUGUAUCUCCGCUGCAUCACAGGUGAUCGUCCAAGAGAUUGGCUUGAUUGGCUGCCGUGGGCUGAGUUCUGUUACAACACAUCCUUUCACUCAGCACUGUGUGCCUCUCCUUUCAUGGUGGUGUAUGGACGGCCGCCGCCACCACUGCUGCCAUAUGGUCCCGGGACAGCCCGCACCGAAAUUGUGGAUUCCCUGCUAGCUGACAGGGAUGAGUUUCUGGCAGAGGUUCGUGCUCGUCUUCUCCAAGCCCAGGAACACGCACGCCGCUUCUACGACGCCAAGCACCGACCUCUCGAAUUGGCUGUGGGUGACUGGGUGCUGCUCCGGUUGUUCCGCCACAACCAGUCUGUUGCACCGGGCAGCACCGGCAAGUUGGGCCCCAAGUACGCUGGUCCGUUCCAGAUCUUGGAACGCAUUGGCGAGGUGGCAUAUCGGCUCCAACUUCCUGACGGUGCCCGCAUUCAUGAUGUGUUCCAUGUGGGCGUCCUCAAGCCGUUCCGGGGGCCGCUGCCUGCAGCUGCACCAACAUUGCCUUCUUCGUCCACAGCAGGUGCUGCGUUCUCGGCUCAGCCGCGGCGAGUGGCAUGUUCUCGUCCAGUGGGCGAAUCUUCCACCUUCAGAAGCUACUUGGGAGCCGGUGUCAGACUUCCGUGCUGCUUACCCUUCCUUUCAGCUCGAGGACGAGCUGUUUCCGAAGGAGGGGAGAGAUGUUAUGACCGGUAUGGUCUAUCAGAGGAGGGAGAAGGAACGUGGCUGAACCAGACCAGGAGGGCAGCCUGGACGUAGUCACCACCUGGCCUAUUGGCCAAGUUAUCUAGAGUUUGCAUUAGUUAAGAUUUACUUUAGUUAAGAUUUACUUUCCAUAAUAGAUUAGAUCUAUUAGAUUGGGACUGCUAUUGUAUAAAGAGUGGAACUCGUAUUCAAUGAGAGGUUAGCCUGGGAUUGAGAUAUUCUUAUCUCCCUUGGGCUCCCGGCCCUUGUCUCCUGUUCUCCGUCUCCCUGUUGCGUGAGUUCCCUCGACAACGGCACCUGCACGCCGCCGCCCAGCUCGCCCGCACGCCCCUGUCUCUCCCCCAUACUUCCUCCGAAGCAAGCUCCGGCGUCGUAACAGUGGAUAUCCAAUGGAUAUCCAAAAUAAAUCAUUUGGAAUUAAAAUUUAUAUUUUAUAAUAUGAUAAUAAUAAUUUAUUUACUUAGAUUAUUAAAUUUAUUCAAAGUUAACUCAUGAAAAUAUUUAUUAUUUGUUGCAUCUUGUUUAUACAUGUGAAUAUGUGUCUAUAUAUCCGCGGAUUUCGGGUAACUAUUUCGGUUUUGGGUAUCCGUUCGGGUUUCGGGUAUCCGCGGGUUUGGUUUUGGUGUUGAAUUUCCACCCGAUUUGGUUUCGGUUUUGGUUUCGGGUUUCGACUUCGCGUUUCGGUUUUGGGUGCACGGAGACUCCACCCGAUCCAAACCCAACCUGUUGCCAUCCUUAAAUGGUGCUCUUCCUUCACUUAGUUGUCAGGUUAGUGUGUUGGCUUCAAUGGUGCCUUAAUGAACGAGUGGACAUGGCUAAGCCCCAUUUAUCGCAGCUGGAUAUUAUCUCAAAACAAUUUUGAUCUCAGCAUACUCUUAUAUAUGGCUAACAAAUUUUUAAUUUAAUAUGUCGCUAAUCUCAUUGACAUCGGUUUUAUGUACUCUAAUAUUAGUUUUUAUGUACAGCUUGAUUCGAAAGAUAUGCUACUUCAUGAAGAGCAGAUAGCUAAAGUUCAAGAACACGUCAUUCAGCAGGUGUAUGGUGAUACUGUGCUUGCCGAAAAAAACACUUCAUUUCAGUGUCGAGGCUGGCUGGCUGGCUGCAAUAAGGUAAUAACGUGGACAUUGUCGGAUUCAUGGUUGGAUGACUGUUGUUACCUAUGAAUUCCGUAAUUACUCUCCUAGAUUGAUUUUACGCUUCUAUAGUUUACCUGCUCCUACAUAGCGAUUGCAAGACUAGAUUUCCUUACAAAGCUACACUGAGAUAUUUUUUCCCUGAAAAAGAAAGUUACUCUAGAUGCUUCCUUACACAAAAUGUGUAGCUUUCCCAGUUUUGCUAAUAAAGCUGGUAAAAAGGAUUGAUGUUCUUGUGGUUGGUUUGACACUUUGAAAUUACCACUGCUUUGCAGCAAACAAUAAAGUGUGCAUAAUCGUUCUAUUUUUAUCUUUUAUGUGCUUCAUGAAGACCUAUAUUUGAUCCUGUUCAGCUGAGUGUUGAUGAAUUAUGUACCUUUUUGCCAUAAACACAUAAUUAUCAACAUAAAGAAAGAUAUCGACUGGGACCACCUUGAGUUCAGGAUUUGAGCCACCAAAUUUGUUGUUCUUUCUUUCCAAAAGGUUGUCUUCUCCUAAAUUUUAAUAUCCCACUACAGGCAGGUCAAAAAAAGGGUUGACCGUGCCUACACAAAGCUAUCCAAAGCUAAUACUGACACUGCCAAGUUAAACCAAUGUCCUAUCCCUAUUCAGCUGUAUUUGUAGCCUUUGAACGAUUUGGAAUCCCACUAUUUUGACAUUGUUGACAUCAUACAUCCACAAUAUAAUUCCGUCUUUAAACUAAACCAAAAAAAAGAUCUUUCAGUCCAAACUUACUUCCUCAGUCAGCAUCUAUGUUUUCUUUUAUUUUUACCAGACAUAUCUAUUUGCUUCAUCCACUUUGGGUCUCUUACAUAAAUAAAAUUAUUACAUUCAGUUGCACUACACUUUUACUUUUUCCACUACCAGUGCAGAACAUAGAGCGCCAAUCACCUGUGCCAAAAACUUUCAGAAUGUUGUUGACAGAGGUGGCUGAUUUCAUAUAUGUUCAAAGAUCUGAUCAUUCAUCUAAACCCAUAGAUAUGCAGUUUAUGCUAAAUAUUUAGGACAUCACUUAUGUUUCCAGACGUAGGAAAAAAAUUCUGAAAAAGUUUAUGUAUCCAUAUGAAUUUACUUCAUAUAUUUAGUGACACCUUUCCAACGUGUCUUAACCCUGUGACGAUUCUAUUUUAGUGAUACAGGUAAAAGAAAGCGAUGAAGAAACAUACAUAGACAAGAGCAUCGAACCAACACCCCCUCCCCCCCCCCCCCCCCCCUCUACCACCACCACCACAAAAAAAACCAGCCAUUCCUCAUUAGAUUACACAGCAAAGAGGUGAUUUCGUUGAGCAAUAUAAUACAUACCUAUAUAUUAUAGCACCCAGAACGGAAUAUAAGUUCUGCGCAUUAUGCAGUUUCCAAUACCAAAGUCAUAAAAAGAGAAAAUCCAUGUUGCCAUGCAGGGAAAUAGCAGCAGAAGAACAAGCUUCUCGCAGUAAAAAUAGGUGAGGCCCAAUCACGCUGCCCAUGUAGUCAGAUAUUGCUCACCUAAUAUUAAUUGUAUGCUUCAUGCCUUCAAUUUACUCUGGUUUUCUGAUGUGGUAGUUUUGUGUAUAGUUAGAAUGGGCGGGUCUCUUCUUUUUCACUUGCUCUUUCUUUUCCUACUAAAGUUCCCACGCUGCUCAUUAUCUUUUAAUUUUUUAUUUAUUUUAUUUACAGUACACAAUAUCUCCAGAAUUUUUACUCUCUUAAUAGAUUUAGUGUCUUCGUUCCAUACUACCUAUGAGACUAGAUCUUUUCCUACUAUUAUGACAGAUUUAAUAAGUGUCUUACAUACUCCUCGUGCUACUAACCGUUCUCCUUAUCCUACAACAAGUAUAUGAAACAGCGACAUGGAUCUACCAUUUUGUAACAUGAACAAGCUAUGCUCGGUGCAUAUGACAAGUCCCUAAUCACUUUCCUAUAUCCAGCCUGAUAAAAACAGUAAACUGACCAUCAAUUAUGGAGAAUUCAUCGCUGCAGUUGUGCCUCUUAAGAAAAUAGAACGUGAUGAGCACUUCAUGGCACCUUUUACUUCGACAGAGAUGGCAGUGCUCAGCGAGCUUCUGGAGACCAUAACAUGGACCACACUUUCUUUGAAGAGAUCAUUUAAGAUAUCGAACCAAACAAUGUAAGUUGGUUCUCUUACUUUAAGGACAGUAGUAGUGCAAAAAGAUUUUACCAUCAAUGUGAAUUACUUGGGCUACCUAAACAUGUCAGUCUCAUUCUAGACCGUGCGGUUGCAUUGCACGAAAAUACUACAAUGGUUCCUGACUGGGCUCAUUGCGUCAACCACAUAGUCUUAACUCACAGCUGUUGAUUUCAGCAACCAUAAAGGAUAAAAAAAUGUAAAUAUACUUGCUGACAGACCCUUCACCUUUUGAUCUUCAAUUUACAUGCGACAAUUCUCCUUGCCGAUAAUUCUCCUAUGUUUUUUUUUGCAAUUGACCUGACAAAUAGGCAAUAUAUUAUAGAAAUAUAUGAUCUGCAUGAUACUAUAGAAUUAUAUGACCUGACCAUAGCUGUUAAGAACUUAGGACUACCAAAUACCAACAAGGCCUCUGCUUAGUUCUAUUGUACUACUUCACUAAUGCAUAUGCUCUUGUGUCUGCUUUUCAGGAUGGUCAAAUCGACUGUGCCCCAAGUUCAUAGCGAUAAAACAAAUCAACAAAGUUUGGACUUUGGUGGUAACCAAUGCAAAACACUUGCAAUAUAUAACCUUGACAGGUGCACAUCAAGUACACUGUCAGUGAUGCACUAACCAUGUUCUUCACUUAUUAAUCGAUUAUUCGUCAAGCUCAGUGAAUCAAAUUAUUUAACAGUAUUUAUAUCCCAAAUAAGUGUAGCCUGCCAAGCAAUAUGUAAUUUGUCAUGAGAGUUUGCAGUUUUUACAUUAUGCAAUAAAAAAACAAUUGCCUAUAUUUACGAACUCGCGCGAGGGCGCGUGCCUUCCACUAGUGCAAACACAAAUUCGGUGAUGAAUGAAGCAAACAAAAGCCGGUGCAGACACUUGUGGGCCAUAGCAGUUCUGGUUUCCAUUCUCAAGUCCGAUCCGGGGCCUUGUUUAGUUCGAACUAAAAUAAAAAAAAA